AUUGAACGCUGCGGCAGGCUUAACACAUGCAAGUCGAGCGAGCUGCGGACGGGUGAGUAAUGCUUAGGAAUCUGCCUAUUCGUGGGGGACCACAUCUCGAACGGGAUGCUACUACCGCAUACUCAUAGAUGAGCCUAAGUCGGAUUAGCUAGUUGGUGGGGUAAAGGCCUACCAAGGCGCCGAUCUGUAGCGGGUCUGAGAGGAUGAUCCGCCACACGGGCACUGAGACAAGGCCCAGACUACCAAGGGAGGCAGCAGUGGGGAAUAUUGGACAAUGGGGGGAACCUUGAUACAGCCAUGCCGCGGGUGUGAAGAAGGCCUUAUGGUUGUAAAGCACUGUAAGUGAGGAGGCGUUACUCGCAGAAUAAGCAACGGCUAACUCUGUGCCAGCAGCCGAGGUAAUUC
rnacentral:rRNA from 1 species